CAGAAUACUGAUGGUUAACAGUCAUCUCUGAAAUUUUACAUUAAAAUCUUUACUUGUGUUUUGAACUUUGGUAAGAAGCAGAAACGUUAGCGUUGCCAUGGAUACAUGAGUGUUAAAUUCUGUUCAUGUUUUUAUUUUGGGAAAUGCAGUCCAGUUGCAGAAUGUGGAGGAAUUUAGUCUCACAAUCACAGACAACAAAUAUUAUCUGAAAGUCGGGUUAUUGUUGUUUAUCAGCACAAUACAAAAAGAUUAAUGCUAGAAAUAUUCCAGUUAAUACUCUGGAAUAUCAUGAUUUAUGUAAAUUUACCUCAAUAAUAUGAAUGUUCAGGUUAAGAUUGUACAGUGAUAUUUAUUAUGUAAGUUUAGCUGAUUAAAGUUUAGGACUCUGCACUAAAAUAUUAUUUAAGUUGACAUCAUUAUUAUAAUAUUUAGGGUCAGACUCUACAGUAUUGAGAUUAAGAAAUCAAAUAUUCUAUAAAAUGUAAAUACACUGAACUCAUUUGGAUAUAUUAGAAUCUACAAUAUUAUUUAUGACACAAAUCUAUCUAAAUCAAAAUUUUAAUCAUUUUUACUGCAAACAUUUACUGGACUGAUUUAAAUAUUAAAAUCACUCCUUUCUAAUCCUCUGCUGUACAUUCAAACCUGAGGCCUUAAAUAGAAACACACAAGUAUCUGAUUGAAGGAACUUCUGCAGAGUCCUGGUUCCAGAACAUGAUGAUAGAAUUAUAGACAAACUUUAACAAAAGCUGCCUGAGAGUUUACAGGUUUUUAUCUUAGAUUUCUUCACUAAUUUAAUGAGUUAUCAGCAAAAAUCAAGUGUUUAUUUGAUGAACUUCAUUUCCUAAAACAUCCAGAAUUGGAGCUCAUAUCUUUGGCAGCUGUAAAGUUUCUGCUCCUUCAAAGUUCACAACACAAUGAAUGAAUUCCUAAAACACUCUCAAUGCUGGAGAGCGUUUGAUGCUGAAGCAGUGAUCAGUUUUUCUGUUUCUUCUCUGGAGAUGCACAAUGAGGGACGUCUGCAGAGACUGAGAAAGAGUCUCACCACAUCCUGACAUGAGGAAAAAAACUUUAUUGAAGACUACAAUGAGAAAAAACUAUCAGACAGCAGAUGGCUGCAUUCAAGGCUACAGGAGGAGCCCUACGAGGACGAGCCGGUCCACCUGAUGGUGGCCAGUCGCUGCGGUUCAAAGCCAACACCGACUACGUGGA
ensembl:lncRNA